rnacentral:rRNA from 1 species
UACAGAGGUCUCAAGCGUUGUUCGGAUUCAUUGGGCGUAAAGGGUGCGUAGGUGGCAUGGUCAGUCGGAUGUGAAAUCCCGGGGCUCAACCCCGGAACUGCAUUCGAUACUGCCGCGCUAGAGUACUGGAGAGGAGAUUGGAAUUUACGGUGUAACAGUGAAAUGCGUAGAGAUCAGCAGGAAUACCCGUGGCGAAGGCGGCCCCCUGGGCCGAACCUGACGCUGAGGCGCGAGAGCGUGGGGAGCGAACAGG